CCGGAAAAGGUAUGGAAGUACUUUCUUGAAUGGGUUAUGGAGUUACGUGACUGGACUCGAAAUAUGGAACCGACUCGAAGAAGGUAACAUCGGCCGAUACUAGGUAUCGUUGUAGAGUAUAUGAAUAACAAUGAUAACCUUUUUGGGAUCAAUGAUAACCAAGAAAGACACACUUUAGUGAUCGAGCUGAGAGUUUAUCAAGACCAGGAGAGAGAUUGUGUACAAAACAU
rnacentral:lncRNA from 1 species